rnacentral:lncRNA from 1 species
AUAAAUAGUAUUACUGCUAAUAAGCAGUAUUAUUGCUAUAUUAUUAUACCAUUACAGUGUCUAGUACAGGUUAUUUAUUAAACAUACAUGACUACUAUUACUGAGAGAGUUAUAUUUUAUUUGUCUUGUUCUCCCAUAGAGCUCUUAAAGAUAUGCUAGGUUUAAAACUUUCAGUCAUUCUCAUGUCAUUUUAUUCAUUUGUUCAUUUAUCAUUCACUUGUUUACUUAACAUGUAUUUCUUGGCUAAUAAUUAAAUGUUAGGCACCAUUCUAUUUGCUAUAGAUGCAAUGAAGACUAUAAAAUGUCCCUGAAAAAAAUUUAGGCAGAUGAUAACAACAGAGCAUCAAGACUCUUGCUGUGUAAGGUCUCCUCAAUGACCCUUGCUCUAGUCCAUCACCUUUCCACCAGCAACAGCAGGGGGCCUUGCCCUAGUUUUAUGGUAUAUUAUACUUCCAUGUGUUCCAUUUCCUUUUUUUUUACUGGGCCAGUCUCCCUGUUCUUCAUUUACAUCUUCCUUUAAUGUCUUCUAACUAAUGUCUUCUACUUAAACUAAUUUAUGGCAGCUGCAUCCCCUCCUGUGUGACACUGGAUCUUAGCAAGGAAAGAUUCUACUCGUUUCUCAGCACCACAAAUAUUCCUUGUUUCUUUUCUAAAAUUAGUAUCUAGGGUUUAUUGUAUGAAAAUUAAAUAAUAGUUGUUCAUUUUCAUGCUCUUUUUUUCCCCAGUAGCAUAGUCAGAUCACACUUUUCCCAAACCCUUCACCACAUCCUUCCCCACUCUUCCCCAAAACACAUACAAUAUAACUUAGAUAACUUUCACCUGAGAAGUCACUCUUGCAAAGCUUUAGAGGACCAAUUUCCAUUCUCAUAAUGAACAGAGUAAAUAGAAAAUUUAGAACUUUUACUCAUUUCCUUGGUGGUAAUUUAUCCUAGCGCUGCUAUCCAGAUCAAGGACGUUAAGAAAUGAAGUAUCUCAAAAAAUUCUACAAGUUCCAUAGUAUUAAUAGAAAAAUAGCUUUCUGCAAAACCUAUCCUUUGUGGUAUAAACUGAGUGAAAAGAAGAUAUUGAUAAUCAUCAUCAAUUAGUUAAAAACUCAAGAUGAUUUUUAAAUGUUCAAAUGCUUUAUUUUAAUCUUUUUGGAAAAACUAAUUUAUAUGAAAAUACAUGGAAUACAGAUAUCUCAAAAUUGAAGUUGUUCAAACACACUGGGCUCUAAUAUGUCAUAUCAUCAUAAGAUAUCCUAUUUUCUUUGCCAGAACCUUAGUUUCUUGGUCAUAGAAACCAAUUUUGUGGAACAAGGGAAAUAUAACAGAUGGCAAAGCCACAGCUCAGAAAAGAAAAAAAAUAAUCAUCCCUUCUGGUUGAGAUAAUCCCUAGAGUUUUGCCUUUGGAAUAAGACUGGUUUUCUAGAGCAAUACCUUAAAAAGAAGAAUGAGGUUUUGUGGUUGGAAUAUAUGACUAGAAGUAAGGAAUCUUAGGUUGUAAUUUUGGUUUCACCACUUAUUCAUUGUCUCUUGGAGCAGUAAAGUAGCACUGAUUAAUAAAUAAAUAUUGACAGACUGUUUCUAGGGCUCUGUGAAAAGCAUACUAGGCAAAUAUUCAUUGUCACCAGAAGUAUUUAAAGUAUUAUUAUUCAAAUAUCAGAUGGCAAGAAAAAUGAAAUAGGAGAGAUUUUUUCUACAAGUCUGAAAAUAUGUAAAAUCCUCCAGAAACUAAGAGUGAAUUGGCUUAGGUUUUUUUUUUUCUCCACAAGGUUGAAAAAAAUUAUAUUGAAAAGGGUAGAAUUAUCUUCUCAAAAUACAGCAUAUAACUCUUGCUUUGGAUUUCCAUGUCACAUUUUCUCUUUCCUCUGAACUUUUACACAGUGGAAAAAGAGUUCCUCAAGAGUUCAGCAGAAACACAGCAUUACUAAACAUUCAUCCAUCUAUGAACACCCAUUGUACACAGGAAGUGAGGUGAAUUUAAUAAAAUAGUCACCACUAAGCAAGGGCAACAUAUGACCUUUAGAAAUAGGAGCUUAUACCUAGAAGACUAGUUCUUAAGGAAACCUGAAGUCCUCAUUCACCCACUGACUCCCAAGGAGGAACAAAUUAAGUAAAUGAACUGCUGGAUGUGAGUAUAGAUGACAAAGGAGGUGAAACCCAUCACUCUCUGAUGCUGUGUAAGAAAGUGCUGUCAGAAGAAAAGCAAGAACUUGGGAUCGAACACAAAGACUUGAUCUCAGAGCUUUAAAGUGAGAGGUUGUUCUCUCUCAUGUUAGAUAAAACAUGAGUAUUUGCAGUUGCUUUUGAAUUAUCACAGAAAAAGUAGAAACACAAGAAGUAAAAUACCACUCUAUUUAACAUGCCUAAAAUAGAGCAGGAAAUUUUUACCGUAUUUUAUCUGAUUUUGGUCCACACGUUUUCUUUCACUGGGUUAUCAAAUUGAGUCAUGACAUUCGUCCCAUCCAAACCAUGAUCUUUGCUUUUAUGAAUAUAAACACAUCCAUUUUUGCCACAAUUAAGCACUAGCAAAAAUUAGUGUCUUUAUAAAAUCUUGUUUGUGGUCUUUGUUGCCUUUCAAUUUCAUUUAUGGAGAGCCAGUGCACAUGCUGCUGAUGAAUCAAAUUAGGGAAAAUCACAACAGGCCCUGUUUAACUUCUCUGGGGAGGCCCUGGCCAUCCCCUGGGAGGACUGCUGUUUCAGAGCAGGUACACAUUCUUGUCCUAAAACAAAUAACUUGAGUGUUAUGGCAGCGUUCACAUGUUUAUACAUCUUAAUACUUUAAAUGUUACCUGAUUACAUUGUAUGAAAUUAUAAAUAUACACCGAGGAAAAUUAAAGGGAAUAGAGGUCCAUAUUUCAGAAUGUAUUAUGUCUGGCCCCAGUUUCCUCAUGUCCUUGGGGGAAAGACGUAACUUUUAAAACAGGUAGCAUGUUAAACCAGCUUUGCAGUAGAUUUGAACUGCAGCUGGGUUACUUGUUACAAGUUCAAAGCACUCCAGUAGAGACUAAAAUAAAAUUUAAAAUAAUUAAAAUGCCCAGCUUGUUUUUGAUGAGUGUUUGACAUUUAUUACUUCCUUUGGCUUUUUUUCUUCCUUAAAGAAAUCUUGUGUGAUUUAAGAAGACCAAACUUCUAGCUGCUAUAGAGUCAGAAAUUAAGUCAGAAAAUGAUAUUCCCUGGUUACAGUUUGAUUCAUGGCAAAUGGUGGAGACACUCUCUUCUCCCAAAUGAUUUUCUUAUAUAUUCUUAUAAUGAUUUUUAUUUUUUCCAUUACAGCUGGUUUACAGCGUUCUGUCAAUUUCCUGCUGCACAGCAAGGCGACCCAGUCACACAUAUAUGUAUACAUUCUUUUUUCUCACAUUAUCAUGCUCCAUCACAAGUGACCAGACAUAGUUCCCAGUGCUAUAAAGCAGGAUCCCAUUGCUUAUACAUUCCAAAGGCUAUAGUUUGCAUCUAUUAACCUCAAAUUCCCCGUCCCUCAUACUCCCUCCCCCUCCCUCCUGACAGUUUUCUAAAUCUGCCUUUCAACUGUCCUAGCUCUCUAUGUCUGGGAUACCUAUGCCAUGGGAAAACUCAGAGGGGAAAAGAGAAGAGCAAGAAUAUAUUACCCUUGUCAAUUUUGUUUUUUCCAGCAUCCAUUCCUGCUUUACCAGUGAAGAGAAGAGUCGUCAGAUAGAGAAACUGGGAGAGGUACUGCCUGGCCCAUUACAACUGAAGAGUUUCCAUUCAGAGUGAAACAUUAUUAUAGGGUUCAGAAUAUUUUUAUUUAUGUCCCAUAAACAAGUUUAAAAAUAACACCAAAAAAAGGAUGUUUACCAUAUGCCGACUCACAGUUUGUGACUAAAAGGGAUAAAAUACCAAAGUUCCCUCUAGCCCUUUGAACUUGAAAGCCAGUGUGCAUUUUCAAUUCCCUUGUACAAUAUGCUAAACAGUAACCCUUUCAGGGCUGCAUUAGAGUAUGUAGCAGGCUCCCUUUUCCCUGCCAACCCAGUGUAGCAGAUCAUUUUUAUUACUGUAGUUCGCUAGUAUGCUUUAAAACAGACGCUUACAUUCACUAGGCUUCUGUUUUCCUUUUUGCCCUUACAAAAAUAUUUUUAGAUAAAAUCAUGAUGGAAAGGUCAUAGGUUAGAAAUGUCCAAAUGAUUCCUUGGUCUCAGAGCAGUGAUCAAAUAUAAUGAAUUUUAACAGAGUUUUAAGAAUAUAUUUCAUCAUUCAAAAAUAUCAGUUAAAAAACUGAAUCAUUACUUUCAGAUAAUGACACAACUGGUAGUUUUAUAAGACAUGUAAGAUAGCCAUAGGAAAUAACUUCGUUUCACAAAUUCAUUCACCAUUCAUUGAGUCCCAAAUAUGAUAAAGCAAAUAUUCUUCAAGCUAACCUUAACAUGUCAUUUAUUAUAAAAGAAAGUCACAUUUUUAGCCUUUUUCUACACUUUGUUUAUAUAUUUAUACAAGUGAAGGGACUACAAAUGUGCAAAACCAACCACAGAGAGACUUGAGUCUGGAUGUGAUGUUGCCAUCAUCACAUCGUCAUCACCCACAUUGUGUUCUAUAAACUCCAAAUGCUACUUGCAUUUUGAAUUUUAUUCUUGUGCUUUGGGAAAGCAUUAUAAAUCUCCAGAAACUCAAUAAAGUUGAAUAAAAAAUGACGAGCAGGGAGUUCUUGUUUUGGCUCAGCAGAAAUGAAUCCUACUGGUAACCAUGAGGUUGCGGGUUCAAUCCCUGGUCUCGUUCAGUGGGUUAAGGACCAGGUGUUGCCCUGAGCUGUGGUGUAGGAUGGAGAUGCAGCUCGGAUCCUCCAUUGCUGUGGCUGUGAUGUAGGCUGGCAACUGUAGCUCCAAUUAAAUACCUAGCCUGGGAACUUCUAUAUGCCU